UUUUUGGUCAUCGCGUGUCAUCCUCACAGAGACAGAGAUUAGGUUUCUUUUAGGGCGUUGCUUAUUUGCCCAAGCCUCGCAUCCUGGAUUCAAGCUCUCUGUACAUCUUCAUUACUCUUCCAACGUUUCUGCUAAUCUUGAAUCGUUUCCUCCUCGGUUUCGUUUAUCUGGGCUGAUUUUGAGGAUAAAGGUUCCAAAAUAUUGAUCAAUGCAAAUGCAUGUUACUGGAACCUCUACUCAGAAAACCAUAAGUUUUGAAAAUGUGGAUUCUGCGGUCUCUGCCAGUUAUUGGUGUGGGUGAAGGCUAUUUUUCAUUAUGAGAAUCCGAAUCUCACAUCUAUCUGUGUUGUUUGUGUCAGGAAUACCUUCUAGCUAGGCUUCAACUUGAAACACAAUAAAAUUCAGUUGCAUCAACUUGAAUUGAGGGAAGAGGAGGAAACAGAAAUAUGAAAGAGGCAUUUUGACACAAUCUACACACAGGUUAUGGAUGGCAAGAUGAUAUUUCUGAACCA